GACGAACGCUGGCGGCGUGCUUAACACAUGCAAGUCGAACGGAAAGGCCCUGCUUUUGUGGGGUGCUCGAGUGGCGAACGGGUGAGUAACACGUGAGUAACCUGCCCUUGACUUUGGGAUAACUUCAGGAAACUGGGGCUAAUACCGGAUAGGAGCUCCUGCUGCAUGGUGGGGGUUGGAAAGUUUCGGCGGUUGGGGAUGGACUCGCGGCUUAUCAGCUUGUUGGUGGGGUAGUGGCUUACCAAGGCUUUGACGGGUAGCCGGCCUGAGAGGGUGACCGGCCACAUUGGGACUGAGAAACGGCCCAGACGCCUACGGGAGGCAGCAGUGGGGAAUAUUGCACAAUGGGCGGAAGCCUGAUGCAGCAACGCCGCGUGCGGGAUGACGGCCUUCGGGUUGUAAACCGCUUUCGCCUGUGACGAAGCGUGAGUGACGGUAAUGGGUAAAGAAGCACCGGCUAACUACGUG
rnacentral:rRNA from 1 species